rnacentral:rRNA from 1 species
UUCCGGUUGAUCCUGCCAGAGGUUACUGCUAUCGAGGUUCGACUAAGCCAUGCGAGUCGAAUGUAGCAAUACAUGGCGUACUGCUCAGUAACACGUGGACAACCUGCCCUUAGGUCGGGUAUAAACCCGGGAAACUGGGUAUAAUCCCCGAUAGGUCUCGGCUGCUGGAAUGCAUCGAGAUUAAAAGCUCCGGCGCCUAAGGAUGGGUCUGCGGCCUAUCAGGUAGUAGUGGGUGUAGCGUACCUACUAGCCUACGACGGGUACGGGUUGUGAGAGCAAGAGCCCGGAGAUGGAUUCUGAGACACGAAUCCAGGCCCUACGGGGUGCAGCAGGCGCGAAAACUUUACAAUGCUGGCAACAGCGAUAAGGGAACCUCGAGUGCCAGGUUACAAAUCUGGCUGUCGAGAUGCCUAAAAAGCAUUUCAUAGCAAGGGCCGGGCAAGACCGGUGCCAGCCGCCGCGGUAACACCGGCGGCUCGAGUGGUAACCGUUAUUAUUGGGUCUAAAGGGUCUGUAGCCGGCCGGAUAAGUCUCUUGAGAAAUCUGGCAGCUUAACUGUCAGGCUUUCAGGAGAUACUGUCUGGCUCGAGGCCGGGAGAGGUGAGAGGUACUUCAGGGGUAGGGGUGAAAUCUUGUAAUCCUUGAAGGACCACCAGUGGCGAAGGCGUCUCACCAGAACGGACCUGACGGCAAGGGACGAAAGCUAGGGGCACGAACCGGAUUAGAUACCCGGGUAGUCCUAGCCGUAAACGAUACUCGCUAGGUGUCGGCCACGGUGCGACCGUUGUCGGUGCCGUAGGGAAGCCGUGAAGCGAGCCACCUGGGAAGUACGGCCGCAAGGCUGAAACUUAAAGGAAUUGGCGGGA